CUCUUUUUGCUCUUUCCUGGCUGUGUGGUGGACUCUUCAGGGACACAGCAGUCACUGCGCUGCAGGGACAGUCCCCAAGUGCCAAGGCACAGCCUAAAGGGGCCUGUUCCCACCAUGGCAUCCGUGACAAGAACCAGGAGCCAGAAUGCAGGUUUCUGGGACUUGUCAGCUCCCUUCUGAGUGCCCUGUUGAGGAUUCCUAGAAGUCCAGACACCUCACCCCCCUAACCUGGAUGGACCACGCAGAGCCAAUAGGAAUACUUUUCUGUGGACGUGCCAUGUUGGAAUCCCAGAUCUCCCUGCCCUGCCAGCCCCUGCCAGCUUCCUGGGGACCCAACUGACCCUGAAGAAAGCCUCUGAUGGGCCUAGAACAGAGAAGGUGACCCAGGACCUUGCCCAGCCUUUCUGGACAACUGGAAGACAGUUACGCUUCGUCCUCCACCUCUCCCUCCAACAAAAGGAUCUUAGCAAGUGUUGGAGAGGUGCUGAAGUCGUAUUAGGACCAACCAGACUUUUUCUUUGAGGAUACUCAGAAGGAGUGAAGGAGAAUGGAACAGGGGGUGUGAAUAAAUGAGCUUUCUCCA